rnacentral:rRNA from 1 species
GGUGAACGCUGGCGGCGUGCUUAACACAUGCAAGUCGAACGGGAAAUAUUUCAUUGAGACUUCGGUGGAUUUGAUCUAUUUCUAGUGGCGGACGGGUGAGUAACGCGUGGGUAACCUGCCUUAUACAGGGGGAUAACAGUCAGAAAUGGCUGCUAAUACCGCAUAAGCGCACAGAGCUCCAUGGCUCAGUGUGAAAAACUCCGGUGGUAUAAGAUGGACCCGCGUUGGAUUAGCUUGUUGGUGGAGUAACGGCCCACCAAGGCGACGAUCCAUAGCCGGCCUGAGAGGGUGAACGGCCACAUUGGGACUGAGACACGGCCCAGACUCCUACGGGAGGCAGCAGUGGGGAAUAUUGCACAAUGGGGGAAACCCUGAUGCAGCGACGCCGCGUGAAGGAAGAAGUAUCUCGGUAUGUAAACUUCUAUCAGCAGGGAAGAUAGUGACGGUACCUGACUAAGAAGCCCCGGCUAACUACGUGCCAGCAGCCGCCGUAA